rnacentral:lncRNA from 1 species
UUUCCAAUCGACCCUCGGUGAAGGGAAGGGAUAAAAGAGUAAUAAUAAUAAGGUAAAAGUAAAAAGAAAAUGAGCUGAAAAAGAGGACUACCUUUGGUAUAAAUUGAGGUCAUUUGGCAUCAAUUGGAGAAUUCAGGAGUGUUAGAAAAAAUUAGUCUGGCUUUUGGAAAUCCUUAAAAGAGAGAAAUUGAGAGAUAUACAUUGAGGCUGGAAUUCUAAGAGUUAAUUCCAGAAGUAAAAUACAGAGUGUUAGGUUGACUGUUAUUGGUAAAAAGCUUCAAAUAGAGUGACUUUAAGCUGAGUUUUUACUUAAAAGUUUCAGUUGGUUUUCUUUGAGUGUUGGCAAACACUAUUUUCUUGCAUCUGUCUCACUCUAAAUUUAACCGUGAGUGCAUUCGUGAGUAUUAUUGGAUUUGUGGUGUGUAAGUUCUUGGUUUUCUGUUAGUAUUUAGCUUCUGGUACUCAUUUGGGUGUUGUUGAGUUGCUGUUUGGUAUCCAAGUAGUGUUACAUUGAUCCCUUGGGUUUCCUCCUGUUUAAUUUGCAAUCUUUUCUGGGAUUCUUGCUAUUGGUUCUACUGGUUUUGCUGAAACUGUUUGUUGCUG